rnacentral:rRNA from 1 species
CCAGCUCCAAUAGCGUAUAUUAAAGCUGCUGCAGUUAAAACGCUCGUAGUUGUGGUUUCGUUGGUGAGAGGAUGUGUGUCUCAAAAAGACGCGCGUUCGCUGGCCAAUUACAACAAUAGUGUGCGUGUUAAGUCACACACACUAAGUAAACCUUGAAAAAAUAUUGACGCUUAAAAUUGGACUUGGGUCCAAGAUCUUUCUGCAUGGGAUUUUGAAAUAUGAGUGGUUGGAGUCAAAUCCGCCGCUAAUGACAUUUGAGGAUGAAAGAGGAAGUUAAUAUUUGGCUGUCAGAGGUGAAAUUCUUGGAUUAGCCAAAGAUUAACCAAUGCGAGGGCAUUCUUCAAUUGCUUUCCUGUCAAUCAAGAACGAAAGUAAGGGGAUUGAAGGUGAGACAAGAGGAGGCGGUGUCUUCAUUCAAUCCGCUCCAUACUAACUUUUGGAAUUUUGCGCAGACGAUCAGAUACCGUCGUAGUCUUUACAGUAAAUUUUGCCGACAAAGGAAGCGGGAAAGAAAUAGAAUGGGCGGGGCAACUCGUGCAUUCAAUAUCCUCCUGCUUUCUCCCACGAAAGUUGAAGUCUUUGGGUUCUGGGGGGAGUAUGUUCGCAAGGCCGAAACUUAAAGGAAUUGACGGAAAGGCACCACCAGGCGUGGAGCCUGCGGCUUAAUUCGACUCAAC